UUCUUUGACCGGCUCCUCACUUCCUCACUUCUCUUUUCUUUCUUUUUCUUCUUGUUCAUUUUUGGUGCAACACUCCUCUUCACUCCUUCAAACUCUCUUGCCGGCACCUCCAUAUCACCAUUUCCAUCAUCAUUUUUCCGGCAAGAUCACCGGAAAAUUCUUGGGAACCCAUAAAUACCUUCACAUCCUUUUUUUGAGGUUCUAACUAAUCUUCUUGGAACUUGGAGAAUUAAGAUUUUGUGGUUGCGAGUAGUCUUUGUGACAACGGAAUCAAAUCCAGGUUAGUGCCCUUUCACUUUGGAUGACACGUUCUUCCCUGCUGUCCAUGGGGGGAAGAUGUUCCUUGAUUGUGUGUGGGUGAGGCUGCUACCCAUGGGGCUAAGAGACCACAUGCAAGAGAGGUCCUAUUUGACGCGCUCUCUUUGCUGCCCAUGGGAGGAGAGAAAAACCUUAAGGGUAUGGGUGAGGCUGCUGUCCAUGGGGCCAAGAGUCUGCAUACCAGAGAGGACAAUAUCAUGCCAGUUAUGAAUAAGUGGAUCCCCUGAUCGAUCUAUGUGGUAAUUUGGUAUAUUUGUGAUAAUUUACUUUACGAUAGAUAUUAUGGUUUUGGAAAUUAUAUUGUUAGUACUCACAGAUUAUAGUAUAUAGUUUCAAGGUAUUUAC